CUCUUAUCGAGAGCGGCGGAGGGACAUGGCCCGAUGAAGCCCGGCAACCUUCAAGGAAAUAACCUUGAAAAGGUGCUAAUUCCUGCAGGCAGAAGUGCCUGAAAGAUGAGAG
rnacentral:ncRNA from 2 species